GCCGUGAGGUGUUGCCUUAAGUGGCGCAACGAGCGCAACCCCUGUCCUUAGUUGCCAGCGGAUCAUGCCGGGAACUCUAGGGAGACUGCCGGUGCCAAACCGGAGGAAGGUGGGGAUGACGUCAAGUCAUCAUGCCCCUUACGUCCAGGGCUGCAAACAUGCUACAAUGCUCGGUACAAAGGGCUGCGACCCCGCAAGGGGGAGCGAAUCCCAAAAAGCCGGGCUCAGUUCGGAUCGGGGUCUGCAACCCGACCCCGUGAAGUUGGAGUCGCUAGUAAUCGCAGAUCAGCACUGCUGCGGUGAAUACGUUCCCGGGGCUUGUACACACCGCCCGUCACACCACGAAAGUGGGCAACACCCGAAGCCGGUGGCCUAACCCUUGUGGAGGGAGCCGUCGAAGGUGGGGCUCGCGAUUGGGGUGAAGUCGUAACAAGGUAGCCGUACCGGAAGGUGCGGCUGGAUCACCUCCUUUCUAAGGAGCCUUUUGGCACUCCGGUCCUCAUGAUCCAUCUCGAGGUAUCGGGAGACUCCAGGUCGAUCACUGGCCGUCCGUCUCACGCUUCGGCGUGAGCGGCACACGCUGUUCAGCCUUGAGGGUGCGAGCCCUCGGGCACCUUGAGAACUCGAUAGCGAGCGCGAGCAUCUACAACAGUCAAGUUAUGAAGGGCUUACGGUGGAUGCCUUGGCGCCAGGAGCCGAUGAAGGACGUGUCAGGCUGCGAAAAGCUUCGGGGAGCUGCCGAGAGAGCUUUGAUCCGGAGAUGU
rnacentral:sRNA from 1 species